UAAGGGGAACGGACAAGAGAUUCUGCAAGCCGGACAAGGAUACCUGGAUGGUGUGUUGCCUCCCUGGUGCCAAGGAAUGACUGAAACUGUUCUGCAACAAACUGUGGUUAAUUGUCACUGACUAAGUGUUCUGGAAAAGCAGUCCUUCAGAAGAGGCUUCUCAACACAUCAAAAGUGUGCGAGGCAGCAGUGAAGGCUAUCGGGAACACUUCUGGCCAUUUUGUAGCUGCAACCACUACUACAAAGAAAUAUGUGUUGAGCCUCCCUUAUCUAAAAUUCCAAAAUCCGAAAACCUCUGAAAAGCGAAAUUUUUAAGUGCUGACAUGACAUCACAAAUGGAAAAUUCCACAAGGCGCUGGGAAGAUUACCAAGUCAUACACCAGUCCCUGCUCGCAACAGGUAGUUCUGGAAAGUGACCUCAAAUGUAAUGAACAAUAGAAAGCCACUGUACAAAACGAGAAAUGAAGAUCUCAAUCGUCUAUUGAUAGAGUGGAUUUGUCUGUCAGCAUGAACAUGUGCCACCUAAGGUUACGUUGAUCAUGAAACAAGCAAAGAUCUAUCACGAUAAACUGAAAAUUGAAGGCAAAUGUGAAUAUUCAGCAGGCUGGUUGCAGAGGUUUAA